rnacentral:lncRNA from 1 species
CGCCACCACACUCCGCGCUUUUCCGACAAACAUCGGAGGAUCCGUGUUCGGUUUGAAGGCCGGAGGACGAGGUCGCGUAACUGCCAUGGCGACGACCUACAAAGUGACUCUGAAAACUCCCGAUGGACCCGUCGAGAUGGAAUGUCCCGAUGAUGUCUACCUUCUCGACUACUUCGAGGAAAAAGGAAUCGAUCUACCGUACUCUUGCCGUGCCGGAUCUUGCUCGUCUUGCGCAGGGAAGGUUUUGUCUGGUGAGAUUGAUCAAUCCGAUGGAAGCUUCCUCGACGAUGAUCAAGAGCAGGAAGGCUGGGUGCUCACCUGCGUCGCCUUCCCUAGGUCCGAUUGUGUUAUUAAGACCCACAUGGAGAAUGAAAUGGAUGACUAAUUUAGUACCGUCCGUCGUCACCAGAGGAAACCUCUGUUCCGUCCUUUGUGUUAUUAAUUAAUAUCCUUUUCUAUUUAAUGUCUUUUUAAUUCGUGUAUGUUUAUUUUCAUUUCAUUAAACAAUGUUUUUAUAAAGUUACUGAGGGUCGGUCUAAGAUUUUAAUAUCUUUAUUUACUUAAU